UAAAGUUUUCAUCUUUUUUUUUUUCCCCCUCAAUAUCAAAGAGACAAUCAGCUGAUUAAUCGAGUCAUUUGAGGUUAUCUGACCCGAUCCGACCCGUUUGUUGGCGGGGCAUUGAUAUUGCUGGUAGAGCUGGUGGAAGCUAUGGCCGUGAGUGUGAGUAUAAUCGAACUUCUUGAAAGUGGCAAUAAUGAUUUUAGCUAAUUUUUAUGCCAUUGUGAGCUGAUUAAUCCAGCAUUUCGAGGUGACCCGACCCGUUUGUUGGCGGGGCAUUGAUUAUUGCUGGUAGAGCUGGUGGAAGCUAUGGCAGUGAGUAUAAUCGAACUUCUUGAAGCUGGCAAUAAUUAUUUUUAUCGAUUUUUUAUGCCAUUGUGAGCUGAUUAAUCCUGCAUUUCGAGGUGACCCGACCCGUUUGUUGGCGGGUCAUGUUAUGGUUUUUGCAGCCAUGGAGUUGUCAGACUCUCUCUUUGCCCGAUCUUAACACAGAUCUGAGCUUCAGUUUUUCUCAAUUCAGCUUGUAUUUUCUUUAAA
rnacentral:lncRNA from 1 species